UUGGAGGGCAAGUCUGGUGCCAGCAGCCGCGGUAAUUCCAGCUCCAAUAGCGUAUAUUAAAGUUGUUGCAGUUAAAAAGCUCGUAGUUGAAUUUCGGGGUUAGUAGGUUGGUCGUGCCUAUGGUAUGCACUGGCUUUACUGAUUCCUCCUUCUUGAAGAACUGUAAUGUCAUUAAUUUGGUGUUGCAGGGAAACAGGACUGUUACUUUGAAAAAAUUAGAGUGUUUAAAGCAGGCUUAACGCUUGAAUACAUUAGCAUGGAAUAAUGAAAUAGGACGUUUGAUCCUAUUUUGUUGGUUUCUAGGAUUGACGUAAUGAUUAAUAGGGAUAGUUGGGGGCAUUAGUAUUCAAUUGUCAGAGGUGAAAUUCUUGGAUUUAUUGAAGACUAACUACUGCGAAAGCAUUUGCCAAGGAUGUUUUCAUUAAUCAAGAACGAAAGUUAGGGGAUCGAAGACGAUCAGAUACCGUCGUAGUCUUAACCAUAAACUAUGCCGACUAGGGAUCGGAUGAUGUUAAUUUUUUAAUGACUCAUUCGGCGCCUUACGGGAAAC
rnacentral:rRNA from 1 species